rnacentral:lncRNA from 1 species
CAAAUCUACGUCCGGCGAAGCUGAAUCCACAUGCGAUGCAUGUUGGGUGGUACUGAAACUAGCGUUCUUGAAGUAGGGAAUGUGUAUUCUUGGACGAUCACUUAAUCACCGCCAGCAGCCCAUGCUGCAGCCGCUAUCUCAAGCGACGUCAACAAGUCCACGUCGGUGGGACGUGGAUUUCAUUGUUUUUGCUGCACUUUUCUCACAGAGCCGCAGACUAUGCACUGCGCUAGAGCAGGGAAGAAUUUGG